rnacentral:rRNA from 1 species
UACGGGGGGGGCAAGCGUUGUUCGGAAUUACUGGGCGUAAAGGGCUCGUAGGCGGCCAACUAAGUCGGACGUGAAAUCCCUCGGCUUAACCGGGGAACUGCGUCCGAUACUGGAUGGCUUGAGUUCGAAAGAGGAUCGCGGAAUUCCCGGUGUAGAGGUGAAAUUCGUAGAUAUCGGGAGGAACACCAGUGGCGAAGGCGGCGAUCUGGGUCGAGUACUGACGCUGAGGUGCGAAAGCCAGGGGAGCAAAGCGGG